AAGUGAACCAUCUCAGACACCUGUCAGUUACCAAUGUAAAAUUGUCUUCUAAAACCACCAUGGGUUCCCUGGAAUAUUGUGCAGGCAGGAGCUGGGAAGUCUCCGUUGCAUGCAGCUCGAUGCUCUCCCCCACCAACACUGGGGGCUCAAGGACGGGCAGUAGUGCAUAUGAUGAUGACGGUGACGUGGUUGGUGGCGACGAUGUGACCCUGGACUCGUGCGUGAUGAUGGUGGGAAGAGCUAUGAUGGGGGUGACUAAUGAUGGUUGGCGCUGGAACUUGAAGUGUGGUGUCCUGUGCAACAGAGGCUGAGAUGGUGGGGAUGGUGAUGGAGGAGAACUCAUUCUCCUCCAUGAUGGUGGCUGGCUCCAGGGAUUCGUACUCAGUCAUGAUUGUACUGCUGUCGUCGUCUGCAAGGGAAGGGAAGCCAUCAGCUAUUAUCUUCAUGAAGUAAGGUACAAUCACUUUAUCCACGACACUGUACAGAAUGACCUGGGAAAUCUGUGCUGUUCUGUACAGAAGACAAGUUUCCUUUGGACAUUUUCCCAUAAGAUAUGGGAAGAAUUUUCAUGAAAAAAAAACUGAACACUGAAUUUUAUGACAGAACUAGGUUAGUUAGCUUAUGGAAAAGAAAUAAAUAAAAUUUUAAUUUAAGAUUUCUAGAAAUCUGAAUUUGAGCACUAAGAUUUGGUAAAAUUAGUGAUCUUUUAUUUAUAAAUAUAAAUACAAUUUAUACUACUAAGUUGUGUGAGGGGACAUCUUAGUUUACCACUAAGUUGAACUGAAAAUAAGAGAAAAUGGGAAAUAAUGCCUCAAGAACUAGCGAAUAAUUGUUGUGCCGUGCAGUCAAAACUCUGUACACUUUAGGUUUUAACAUAUCACCGACUACACUGUUACUAUCAGAGACAUUGUUGUAAAGCCUUGUAGAUGUAUAACACAGUUUAGUGUUGUGCAUGUUGAGUACAGUAAAUAGACAUUGUGUUCAUCAGCAACACAAAGUGAUUUAUCCCUAACAGUGAAACUCUCAAAUCAGUCAUAUUAAAUAUAUUAAUAAAGAUUUGUCAUGCCUUUUGACCCAUAUCAUGAGUGGCCAUGUUUGUGAUACUGGUGUUUUUUGUAAGAACUCAAAAUUUGUCAUGUGUAGAUGUGGACUGUGACUAUCAUGCGUGCAUGCUAUAUCAUUAAACCUCAUUAUAUAUAACUCAUUGCUGUGCUAUUUAAAUUUGAAGUGUAGUUAAUGACAUGCAGAUACAUUAGUUGGAGAUUUCCUAAAAGUCCCUUUUCUGUUUGUGAAGGUUCGAUUUUCCACUGUACAUAUGAAAAAAAAUUUCUAGCUUUAUUUCAUAUAUACUUCUAUCUUCAACACUGUUCCAGAGCUUGUUUAGUUGAUGUAACUAAAAUAAUGAGUAGAAAUUAGAGUUUGAAUCCAUUACUUUUCCAGUCAGUGCUUAUACAAGGGAAGAGAGGCACAACUUAAGACCUUCCUGGUACCCACUGUACUGUGCUAAGCCAACCAGCUCUUCAAUGUAUCUCCAUCUGUUUCUCUCUAGAGAAAAUAAUUGAUAUGGCAGCAUAAAAUAACAGACAGGGAGGCAGUCUUGCCUGUCAGGAAUAGGUGGAUGCCUUGUGGCUGUGUGUAUGACUGGUUUUAGAGUGGAGUGGAGGAGAGGGAUGGCUAGUACUGUAGCACAGAAGGGAUGUUCUGCUUGGUGCAGUACUUCACUGCCUAUUGGUAGUACCAGUGUCUCUAUUCUGAACUGAAUAGUGUACAAUACUGAAUUUAAAUCAGCAUUAACAAAAUAUGAAACUUGCAAAAUAUGAAACUUGCAAUUGUGUCUAUAUGGAUGCUAGUACAGUGUUUAGUACUGCAGUCAUCAAUCACAAUUCUCACAUUUAUGUUUCACUUUACUUCCAUAUUGAAGAGCAUGGUACUUUGUAUAGAUCUAUGUACAGAGUUUUGACAAACUGUUUAGCCAAUACUGAUUUCAGGUUUAUUUUUAGGCCUUAAGCAGGGAUGAAGGAUCAUUUAUGAAAAGAGAUGUAUUCUGAAAGCAAAGUUUGGCAGUAAAUUACUAGUAUCAAAGCCAUUAUCAGAUUUCUGAUUGCUAGGGGUCUUGAAAUAAUAGUGAUGAAACAUUAAAGUAUUUAGAACACGAGUG